rnacentral:rRNA from 1 species
GUAACAGGAAACAGCUUGCUGUUUCGCUGACGAGUGGCGGACGGGUGAGUAAUGUCUGGGAAACUGCCUGAUGGAGGGGGAUAACUACUGGAAACGGUAGCUAAUACCGCAUAACGUCGCAAGACCAAAGAGGGGGACCCUCGGGCCUCUUGCCAUCGGAUGUGCCCAGAUGGGAUUAGCUUGUUGGUGGGGUAACGGCUCACCAAGGCGACGAUCCCUAGCUGGUCUGAGAGGAUGACCAGCCACACUGGAACUGAGACACGGUCCAGACUCCUACGGGAGGCAGCAGUGGGGAAUAUUGCACAAUGGGCGCAAGCCUGAUGCAGCCAUGCCGCGUGUAUGAAGAAGGCCUUCGGGUUGUAAAGUACUUUCAGCGGGGAGGAAGGGAGUAAAGUUAAUACCUUUGCUCAUUGACGUUACCCGCAGAAGAAGCACCGGCUAACUCCGUGCCAGCAGCCGCGGUAAUACGGAGGGUGCAAGCGUUAAUCGGAAUUACUGGGCGUAAAGCGCACGCAGGCGGUUUGUUAAGUCAGAUGUGAAAUCCCCGGGCUCAACCUGGGAACUGCAUCUGAUACUGGCAAGCUUGAGUCUCGUAGAGGGGGGUAGAAUUCCAGGUGUAGCGGUGAAAUGCGUAGAGAUCUGGAGGAAUACCGGUGGCGAAGGCGGCCCCCUGGACGAAGACUGACGCUCAGGUGCGAAAGCGUGGGGAGCAAACAGG